UACGUAGGGUGCGAGCGUUAAUCGGAAUUACUGGGCGUAAAGUGUGCGCAGGUGGCUUCGCAAGUCGAGUGUGAAAUCCCCGGGCUUAACCUGGGAAUUGCGCUCGAAACUACGGAGCUGGAGUAUGGCAGAGGGAGGUGGAAUUCCACGUGUAGCGGUGAAAUGCGUAGAGAUGUGGAGGAACACCAAUGGCGAAGGCAGCCUCCUGGGCCAAUACUGACACUCAUGCACGAAAGCGUGGGGAGCAAACAGG
rnacentral:rRNA from 2 species